rnacentral:rRNA from 1 species
CGCUGUGGCCGGUGGGCCAUUCGCAUCGUGUUAGCGGGGUACACGCCUCGUGACGCUGUUAAAGUGCAGGAAUCGUUGGGGGAUUACCUCCAUCAAUCUGCAGCCAACUGUUCGGUUGGUCUAACGACUAAAUAACACCGGCCGGGUUCGCCCCGGUCAAGAUAUAGUCUCAACGAGUGGAGCCAUCCACCCGAGCGAUGCAUUAAAUCAGUUAUCGUUUAUUUGAUAGUACCUUUCUACUUGGAUACCUGUGGUAAUUCUAGAGCUAAUACAUGCUAAAAACCUCGACUUCGGAAGGGGUGUAUUUAUUAGAUAAAAAACCAAUGCCCUUCGGGGCUCCUUGGUGAUUCAUAAUAACUUAACGAAUCGCAUGGCCUUGCGCCGGCGAUGGUUCAUUCAAAUUUCUGCCCUAUCAACUUUCGAUGGUAGGAUAGUGGCCUACCAUGGUUUCUACGGGAAAAAUCCGUUGCCCGUGGGCACGACCGUUGGGGAGCCUCCGGGCUUUCUCGGCGACACCGCUGGCUCCGAAGAAGUCCUCAGGGUGCUUAUUCGGGGGCGUGCUCUGUCUUAGAGCCGCCCGAACGCAUGCAAAGCGGUGGGCUUCGUUUGGCUCGAGGCUUUCGGUACAUGCUACCGCCCGGCACCCGCCGGGGCUGGAGAAAUGAACGGGGAAUUAGGGGUUCUAUUCCGGAGAGGGAGCCUGAGAAACGGCUACCACAUCCAAGGAAGGCAGCAGGCGCGCAAAUUACCCAAUCCCGACACGGGGAGGUAGUGACAAUAAAUACUGAUACAGGGCUCUUUUGGGUCUUGUAAUUGGAAUGAGUA